UAGCAAGAUUAACUUUUUUAUUAAUUUUCUCGAAGCCUAAGGAGUUACUUUAUUACUGUUUUUAGACAGAAAAUGUAAAUGUAGCAAAAUUUUAUUUAUAUUAUAAAGUAGAAAUGAAAUUUUUUUCGUAUUAGGAGAUAGCUAGUUUCGACAGAAAUACAUUUACGUGUAGGUAAUCAGGUAGGUUAAAGUUAUGGAUGGGUUAGGUAAUCUAUUGAUUUUUCUGGCCCCUAGAAGGGUGAGCUUAUAGGGGAAAAUUGUAAUGUAAGGUAAAAAGUUUGCUAGCAUCUAAGCUUGAAAUUAGCUAAGAUCAGAAGCUUGUUUUAAAGUAUUAAUAUACUGUUGUGCAUUGUUUAAGUUAGGUUGAUAAAUAUCUAAGCUAAAAGGUGUUAUAUUUAUGCUAAAAUGAGUAUUUUGUGGAUAAUUAAAAACUAAAGUUGAUUGUUUAAUUAGGAAUAAUGCGUUAAUUUAAAAUGUGAAAAAGGAACUCGGCAUCUAUGUUUCGCCUGUUUAGCAAAAACAUGGCUCUUUG
rnacentral:rRNA from 1 species